rnacentral:rRNA from 1 species
UACAGAGGGGGCAAGCGUUGUUCGGAAUUACUGGGCGUAAAGGGCGCGUAGGCGGCCUUCUAAGUCGAACGUGAAAUCCCCGGGCUCAACCCGGGAACUGCGUCCGAUACUGGAAGGCUUGAAUCCGGGAGAGGGAUGCGGAAUUCCAGGUGUAGCGGUGAAAUGCGUAGAUAUCUGGAGGAACACCGGUGGCGAAGGCGGCAUCCUGGACCGGUAUUGACGCUGAGGCGCGAAAGCCAUGGGAGCAAACGGG